CAGCAGUCGCCACGGGAAUACGGAGGGUGCAAGCGUUAAUCGGAAUUACUGGGCGUAAAGCGCACGCAGGCGGUUUGUUAAGUCAGAUGUGAAAUCCCCGAGCUUAACUUGGGAACUGCAUUUGAAACUGGCAAGCUAGAGUCUUGUAGAGGGGGGUAGAAUUCCAGGUGUAGCGGUGAAAUGCGUAGAGAUCUGGAGGAAUACCGGUGGCGAAGGCGGCCCCCUGGACAAAGACUGACGCUCAGGUGCGAAAGCGUGGGGAGCAAACGGGAUUAGAGACCCGUGUAGUCCCUGUCUCUUAUAC
rnacentral:rRNA from 1 species